CCAAACUCCAUCUCAUAAAAAAAAGGGACAGGCAUGGGGCAUGCCAGGCAGGCAAUUUUAGACUGUACUUGUGUAGAUCUUUACUUGACGUUGCAGAAAUGUCAACUGUUUAUAUAUGUAUUUUUAAUGGUAGUGUAUGUGAUACAGAAGUGCUGGGUAGAGAAGAGCAUGGUCCCUUUAAAUAAUUCGGAAGUGGGGAAGGGAUGUGCCGGGUAAAGGAGGGCGUGGUCCUUAGCUAGGGCUCCGCCCCCACGGACCUAGGUGAGGACAGGCAUCUCUGCCCAAAUGUUGCAUUUCCCGCCCAAAUGUUGCAUUUCCCAAAACCACCCUGGCCUGCCAUGGCCGCAUCCUGGGCCUAUAAAAACCCAAGAUGCUAGCAAGGCAGUGACAGAGGCCGCCAGACGUUGAGAGGACAAGUCAGCAGAAGACGCCACAGCCGCUGGCGGUGGAGAGGAGGUCGAGAGGCUCACGCGCGCAGAAGAAAAUACCGGCACACGGACAGGCCAUUGACCGGCAGGACCAGGCGGAGUUUGGCCCGGGCAGUGGGAGGAGAGCCAGGGGAAGAUCAUCUUCCUUCUGGCUCCCCAUCGUGGGAGAGUUAACACUUGACACUCGUUCUCCAAGCCCAGGUGUGCUGCGAUUCUUCAGGUACACCAAGGCAAGAACCCGGGAUACAGAAAUCCCUCUCUCCUUGCGAUAAGGAAGGGGGCCUAUUGAGCUGGUUAACAUGAGCCGCCUAUAGACACCUUGUAACAGACGCCCCCUGGGUCUUCAGGAGCCGUAAACAUCCACCGCAGACACCGCCGUGGGGUCGGAGCCGCACAAAGCUCCCCUGGAGGUUUGAGCAGCGGGAAGCGAGCCAGAGCCACACCCCAACUGCACACCCUGCGGGGGCCUUUCAGAUGGGAAGAGAAGGAAAUUGGGACACACCCUGGGACACCCCUGUGAAGCA
rnacentral:lncRNA from 10 species